rnacentral:rRNA from 1 species
CGUACACUCCUACGGGAGGCAGCAGUGGGGAAUAUUGGACAAUGGGCGCAAGCCUGAUCCAGCCAUGCCGCGUGAGUGAUGAAGGCCCUAGGGUUGUAAAGCUCUUUCACCGGUGAAGAUAAUGACGGUAACCGGAGAAGAAGCCCCGGCUAACUUCGUGCCAGCAGCCGCGGUAAUACGAAGGGGGCUAGCGUUGUUCGGAUUUACUGGGCGUAAAGCGCACGUAGGCGGACUAUUAAGUCAGGGGUGAAAUCCCGGGGCUCAACCCCGGAACUGCCUUUGAUACUGGUAGUCUUGAGUUCGAGAGAGGUGAGUGGAAUUCCGAGUGUAGAGGUGAAAUUCGUAGAUAUUCGGAGGAACACCAGUGGCGAAGGCGGCUCACUGGCUCGAUACUGACGCUGAGGUGCGAAAGCGUGGGGAGCAAACAGGAUUAGAUACCCCUGUAGUCCCAUGA